rnacentral:tRNA from 3 species
GUUCCUGUAGUUAAAUUUAUAACGGCGGCUUUUCGAGCCGCAGGUCCCAGAGAGAGGCUGGGUGGGAAUA